AAUGAACGCUGGCGGCAGGCCUAACACAUGCAAGUCGAGCGAAGCCUUCGGGCUUAGCGGCGGACGGGUGAGUAACGCGUGGGAACGUGCCCUUUGGUACGGAAUAGCCCCGGGAAACUGGGAGUAAUACCGUAUGUGGUCGAGAGACGAAAGAUUUAUCGCCAAAGGAUCGGCCCGCGUUGGAUUAGGUAGUUGGUGGGGUAAUGGCCUACCAAGCCGACGAUCCAUAGCUGGUUUGAGAGGAUGAUCAGCCACACUGGGACUGAGAAACGGCCCAGACUCCUACGGGAGGCAGCAGUGGGGAAUCUUAGACAAUGGGGGAAACCCUGAUCUAGCCAUGCCGCGUGAUCGAUGAAGGCCUUAGGGUUGUAAAGAUCUUUCAGUGGGGAAGAUAAUGACUGUACCCACAGAAGAAGCCCCGGCGAACUCCGUGCCAGCAGCCGCGGUAAAAC
rnacentral:rRNA from 1 species